rnacentral:rRNA from 1 species
GAUGAACGCUGGCGGCGUGCCUCAAACAUGCAAGUCGAGCGGGGCUAUGUAAUAUCGCAAGGUAGAACAUAGCCUAGCGGCGAACGGGUGAGUAACACGUGGGUAACCUGCCUGGAAGACAGGGAUAACGAUUCGAAAGGGUCGCUAAUACCUGAUAAUAUCCUUUCAUCGCAUGGUGAUAGGAAGAAAGGGGAAACCCGCUUUCAGAUGGGCCCGCGUCCCAUCAGCUAGUUGGUAAGGUAAAGGCUUACCAAGGCGACGACGGGUAGCCGGUCUGAGAGGAUGUACGGCCACACUGGGACUGAGAUACGGCCCAGACUCCUACGGGAGGCAGCAGUUGGGAAUCUUAGGCAAUGGACGAAAGUCUGACCUAGCGACGCCGCGUGAGGGAAGAAGGCCUUCGGGUUGUAAACCUCGUGUCAGUGGGGGAAGAAGUAAGUAGGACGGUAACCCCGAAGAACGGAAGCCCCGUGCUAACUACGUGCCCAGCACGCCGACGGUAAUACCGACUGUACAGU